UACAGAGGGUGCAAGCGUUAAUCGGAUUUACUGGGCGUAAAGCGUGCGUAGGCGGCUCGCUAAGUCGGUUGUGAAAUCCCUGGGCUUAACCUGGGAACUGCAGUCGAUACUGGCGGACUAGAGUACGGUAGAGGGUGGCGGAACUCCGGGUGUAGCGGUGAAAUGCGUAGAUAUCCGGAAGAACACCGAUGGCGAAGGCAACCACCUGGGCCUGUACUGACGCUGAGGUACGAAAGCGUGGGGAGCAAACAGG
rnacentral:rRNA from 1 species